rnacentral:rRNA from 1 species
GGAGGAAAAGAAACUAACUAGGAUUCCCUCAGUAGCUGCGAGCGAACAGGGAAAAGCCCAGCACCGAAUCCCGCGGCCGAUACCGGGCGCCGGGAAAUGUGGUGUUAGGGAGGGUCCAUUAUCCCGAGGUUAUACGGUGCGUCCAAGUCCUUCUUGAACGGGGCCACAGCCCAUAGAGGGUGCCAGGCCCGUAGCGACUGCCGUUUACCGCGGGAGGAUCUCUCCUCAGAGUCGGGUUGCUUGAGAGUGCAGCCCUAAGUGGGUGGUAAACUCCAUCUAAGGCUAAAUAUGACCACGAGACCGAUAGCGAACAAGUACCGUGAGGGAAAGUUGAAAAGCACUUUGAAGAGAGAGUUCAAGAGUACGUGAAACCGUUUAGGGGUAAACCUGAGAAACCCGAAAGGUCGAAGGGAGAAAUUCAUUCGCGUUUCGCGGUCGGCGUGAAGCGGUCGAGUGACGGAAGAUGCGUUCGCGUAUCUUCCGCGCCUUCUGUUUUACGAUCCGAUAGCGAACGCGUGCACUUUUCUUCUGGUAGGACGUCGCGAUCCGUUGGGUGUCGGUCUACGGCUCUCGGUGGAGACCGUUCGUACGGCUUGCCGCUACGUUCGGACCCGAGUGUCCCGGCUGACUCGCUCGACGGUAUGCGAAAGGUUUAAGGCCGCUUUUAAAGCGUUCGACUCGUCGCAAGCGCGCCAGAUGUUUGUCGGUAAUCGGACCUAGCGCCGGUUCUGACCUCUGGUGACUGUUGGCGACGAAGUUCUCGAACAGACCUUUGACCGAUCUGCGACGCUAUAGCUUUGGGUACUUUCAGGACCCGUCUUGAAACACGGACCAAGGAGUCUAGCAUGUGCGCGAGUCAUUGGGAAUCACUAAACCUAAAGGCGUAAUGAAAGUAAAGGUCCGCCUCGCGCGGACUUAGGGAGGACGGGCGGGUUUACCCUUAAAAGUGGCCGCUCAGCACUCCCGGGGCGUCUCGUUCUCAUCGCGAGAAGAGGCGCACCAAGAGCGUACACGCUGGGACCCGAAAGAUGGUGAACUAUGCCUGGUCAGGACGAAGUCAGGGGAAACCCUGAUGGAGGUCCGUAGCGAUUCUGACGUGCAAAUCGAUCGUCGGAACUGGGUAUAGGGGCGAAAGACUAAUCGAACCAUCUAGUAGCUGGUUCCCUCCGAAGUUUCCCUCAGGAUAGCUGGCGCUCGUCGCGCACGAGUCUCAUCCGGUAAAGCGAAUGAUUAGAGGCAUUGGGGUCGAAACGACCUCAACCUAUUCUCAAACUUUAAAUGGGUGAGAUCUCCGGCUUGCUCGAAUUCAUGAAGCCGCGAGACACGGAUCAGAGUGCCAAGUGGGCC